CAGGUGUGUAGAUGAGUGUUGACAGGUGUGUGGAUGAGUGUUGACAGGUGUGUGGAUGAGUGUUGACAGGUGUGUGGAUGAGUGGUGACAGGUGUAUGGAUGAGUGUUGAUGUGUAUGUGGAUGAGUGGUGACAGGUGUGUGAGUCAUGGAGGUAUAUGAGUCAGAGGAGACAGGUGUGUGGAUGAGUGGUGACAUGUGUGGAUGAAUAGUGACAGGUGUGUGGAUGAGUGGUGACAGGUGUGUGGAUGAGAGGUGACAGGUGUGUGGAUGAGUGUUGACAUGUGUGUGGAUGAAUAGUGACAGGUGUGUGGAUGAGUGUUGACAUGUGUGUGGAUGAGUGUUGACAGGUGUGUGGAUGAAUAGUGACAUGUGUGUGGAUGAGUGUUGACAGGUGUGUGGAUGAGUGUUGACAGGUGUGUGGAUGAGUGUUGACAUGUAUGUGGAUGAGUGGUGACAGGUGUGUGGAUGAGUGUUGACAGGUGUGUGGAUGAGUGUUGACAGGUGUGUGGAUGAGUGUUGACAGGUGUGUGGAUGAGUGUUGACAGGUGUGUGGAUGAGUGUUGACAGGUGUGUGGAUGAGUGUUGACAGGUGUGUGGAUGAGUGUUGACAGGUGUGUGGAUGAGUGUUGACAGGUGUGUGGAUGAGUGUUGACAUGUAUGUGGAUGAGUGGUGACAGGUGUGUGGAUGAGUGGUGACAGGUGUGUGAGUGAGUCAUGGAGAUAUAUGAGUCAGAGGAGUCAGGUGCGUGAGUGAGUGGUGACAGGUAUGAGUGAGUCACGAAAGUAUAUGAGUCAGAGGAGACAGCUGCGUGAGUGUCUGUGUGGAAGGUUAAUGGAGUGGAAACGAGAAGAGGAUGUAUAUUUUUUUAUUAUCCUAUUCUAUUUUCGUCUUUUUUACUCAUUAUUUGUAUAUUUAUUUAUUUUGUUUUUGUUUAUUUUUUAUUAUUUUUAUUUUUAUGUGUGUUUCCAUAUGCUCUCAUAAAUGCGAUCUCCAGUUUUCUUUUUACUAGCCUUCAUUUUCUCUUUUUUCGCUUCAUUUUCUUUCUUUUUUGUCGUUUUCAUCUUUACCUCCUUUUUUUCAUUUUUGCCUGGCCUUUGGUUCCCUUCCUCCCCUCUUCCCUCCCCCCUUUCCUAAUUGUAUCAUACCCUUUCUCCUUUCCUUUUGAUCUCCUCCUCCUCCUCCUCCUCCGCGGUAUCCUUGGCCUUCUCGUUUUGCUAAUUUUAUCUCAUUCUUCCUUCCCUUCUGAUUUCAUCCCUCCCCUCCUUCCCUCCAUCCUUCCCUCCCUCCCUUUCACCUUUCCUUCCAUGCUAAUUACUGUCGCCAGGUGUGAUA